AAAACUUUCAACAACGGAUCUCUUGGUUCUGGCAUCGAUGAAGAACGCAGCGAAAUGCGAUAAGUAAUGUGAAUUGCAGAAUUUAGUGAAUCAUCGAAUCUUUGAACGCACAUUGCGCCCCUCGGUAUUCCGGGGAGCAUAGCCUAGUUCGAGCGUCAUUG
rnacentral:rRNA from 1 species